AUUGGUUUUUUAAUUUUUUUCUUCCGCCAAAUUUUGUUCUUGCGAUAAAUGUUUGUUUUGCAAUAUGUCGCUUAGAUAUUUCUCAUAUGGUAUCGUAUAGUUUAUGCGCUUUUAAAUUUCACCCUGCUAAGGCGAACCAUUUUCUUUGUAAGAGUUAUCUCCCUUUUCACUGUUUAUCAUCUGUGUGCAUCUCCUUCGUAACAAAAAAAGAUAGCGACAAAUUUCUUUUUACAAAUUGUUCG
rnacentral:lncRNA from 1 species